UACGGAGGGUGCGAGCGUUGUCCGGAAUCAUUGGGCGUAAAGGGCGCGUAGGCGGCCAUAUAAGUCGGGGGUGAAAGCCUGUGGCUCAACCACAGAAUUGCCUUCGAUACUGUAUGGCUCGAGACCGGAAGAGGUAAGUGGAACUGCGAGUGUAGAGGUGAAAUUCGUAGAUAUUCGCAAGAACACCAGUGGCGAAGGCGGCUCACUGGCCCGGUACUGACGCUGAGGUGCGAAAGCGUGGGGAGCAAACAGG
rnacentral:rRNA from 1 species